GCCGUGACAGCGGCAGCCGGAGCGGCGGGGCGGGGAGCCGCUGGACGGCAAAGGGAGGAGCUGCUGCACCGGCAGCAUCAGCCCGGCGGCGGAGACGCUCCCGCGCCUCCCAACAGGAAGGGCAGCUUUCAAUGGCACCCUCACUCCGUUCACCCUCAGCUGCGGCCUCGCUUCAACCCGCUGCCAGCCACCCUACCUGCGGUGCCACCUCUCACUUAAUGUACUCUAAUGGGUCACAUUAGACACAUUAGAUUUGGGAGUGACCUUGGUUUGCAGAGGACCAAGUCUGAGCCAGAGCCUUCCUCUAGCGCAACCCUUGGCAGUAACCCUCUCCAUCAGGUUUUUGCUGCCAGCUGCAGCCUCUGGCUCUGCAAACCUGCCCUGAACUUCAGAAAGUGCCUCACUGAGCAGAGAAGUGACAUCACUGAUCAGAAUCAUCUCUGCUGUACUCCAGUGCUGAAGGUGCCUCCUACCUUUCCUGACUCCAUUCCUUCCAGGCUGCAAAUCCUCUCAGUGAGACCUGGAGCAAGAAUCACAGAGUGGUAGAAGACCUCCAGAGAUCAUCGUGUUCAACCCAGCUGCCAAGGCAGGAUCACCUAGAGCAGGUCACAAAGGAUUGUGUGCAGAUGGCUUCUCCAGAGAAGCUUCCCCAGGUCUGAAUAGCCUGGAGCAUCUUCCCACUCCAAGUCAUAGAAUCACAGAAUGGUAGGGGGUGGAAGAGACCUCUGGAAAUCAAUCCACCUCCACUGCCAAAGCAGAAUCACCUAGGGCAGGCCACAUAGGAAAGCGUUCAGACAGGUCUUGAAGGGAGACUCCACUACAUCUGUGGGCAGCCUGCUCCAGAGCUCCAGCACCCUCACACCAAAGCAGUUUCUCCUCAAGCUAAGGUGGAGUUCCCUGCGUUCCAGGAGCCCCUUGUCCUGUCGCAGGACACCACAGAACAGAGCCUGGCCUAUUGUUCUUGACACCCACCCUUCAGGUAUUUGUCACCAGUAACAGGAUUGACUCUUGAUCUUUGGUUGGAAGAGACCUUCAAAUCCAUCCAGGCCAACCCUCAACUCAGCACUGCAAGGUCACCACUAAACCCUGUCCCUAGCACCAGGUCCAUGCACCAGUAAAACACCUCCAGGGAUGGUGACUCCAGCACUGCCCUGGGCAGACCAUUCCAAUGUCUGAUAAUCCUUUCAGUGAAGAAAUACUUCCUAAUACCCAGCACCUUUCAGGGCUAUGGGGCAGAGGAGAUGAGCUCUUGCACCAUCU